AACUAACGCUGGCGGCGUGCCUAACACAUGCAAGUCGUACGAGAAAGUCGGCUUCGGCUGAUGAGUAAAGUGGCGCACGGGUGAGUAACGCGUGGAUAAUCUGCCCUUGAGUGUGGAAUAACGUACCGAAAGGUGCGCUAAUACCGCAUAAUGCCUGGCAACACAAGUUGUCCGGCCAAAGAAGGCCUCUGUUUACAAGCUUUUGCUCAAGGAUGAGUCCGCGUACCAUUAGCUAGUUGGUGGGGUAACGGCCUACCAAGGCUACGAUGGUUAGCUGGUCUGAGAGGAUGAUCAGCCACACUGGAACUGAGACACGGUCCAGACUCCUACGGGAGGCAGCAGUGAGGAAUAUUGCGCAAGUGGGGGCAACCCUGACGCAGCAACGCCGCGUGAGUGAGGAAGGUUUUCGGACUGUAAAGCUCUGUCGAGCGGGAAGAAUGUACCAUGGCUAAUAUCCAUGUAUAUUGUACGGUACCGCUAGGAGGAAGACCG
rnacentral:rRNA from 1 species